rnacentral:rRNA from 1 species
AGAACGAACGCUGGCGGCAUGCCUAACACAUGCAAGUCGAACGAGACCUUCGGGUCUAGUGGCGCACGGGUGCGUAACGCGUGGGAACCUGCCUUUAGGUUCGGAAUAACUCCUCGAAAGGGGUGCUAAUACCGAAUAAUGUCUUCGGACCAAAGAUUUAUCGCCUUUAGAUGGGCCCGCGUUGGAUUAGCUAGUUGGUAGGGUAAAGGCCUACCAAGGCGACGAUCCAUAGCUGGUCUUAGAGGAUGAUCAGCCACACUGGGACUGAGACACGGCCCAGACUCCUACGGGAGGCAGCAGUGGGGAAUCUUGCGCAAUGGGCGAAAGCCUGACGCAGCGACGCCGCGUGAGGGAUGAAUGGCCUUCGGGUUAGUAAACCUCUUCAGCGAGGGACGAAGCCGUUCGGGUGACGGUCCUGCGAGAAGAAGCCCCGGAUAACGUCGUGCCAGCAGCCGAC